UGGCUCAGAACGAACGCUGGCGGCAGGCUUAACACAUGCAAGUCGAGCGCCCCGCAAGGGGAGCGGCAGACGGGUGAGUAACGCGUGGGAAUCUACCCAUCACUACGGAACAACUCCGGGAAACUGGAGCUAAUACCGUAUACGUCCUUCGGGAGAAAGAUUUAUCGGUGAUGGAUGAGCCCGCGUUGGAUUAGCUAGUUGGUGGGGUAAUGGCCUACCAAGGCGACGAUCCAUAGCUGGUCUGAGAGGAUGAUCAGCCACACUGGGACUGAGACACGGCCCAGACUCCUACGGGAGGCAGCAGUGGGGAAUAUUGGACAAUGGGCGCAAGCCUGAUCCAGCCAUGCCGCGUGAGUGAUGAAGGCCCUAGGGUUGUAAAGCUCUUUCAACGGUGAAGAUAAUGACGGUAACCGUAGA
rnacentral:rRNA from 1 species